GGGCCAUCACCCUCAACUGAGUUGAUUUCAUAAAUUUGACCUUCAGUAAAUUCUAUGUCCAAUGCCUGAAUGCAAGCUUCAGCGACUACAAGUCUGCUUACCUCUCCCACAAGUUUAUCACCUUAAUCAAUAAGAACUGCAUGCCGUUUCCCAGCAGUAGCUUUGAGCAGGGUAUUUAGAUCAUAUGAUGUGUAAGGUCCAUCUGUUAAUCUACCAGGUCUAAUGAUGGUGAAUGGAAG
rnacentral:misc_RNA from 1 species